CCUACGGGUGGCUGCAGUGGGGGAUAUUGCACAAUGGGGGGAACCCUGAUGCAGCGACGCCGCGUGGGUGAAGAAGCGCCUCGGCGCGUAAAGCCCUGUCAGCAGGGAAGAAAAUGACGGUACCUGAAGAAGAAGCCCCGGCUAACUACGUGCCAGCAGCCGCGGUAAUACGUAGGGGGCAAGCGUUAUCCGGAUUUACUGGGUGUAAAGGGAGCGUAGACGGCAGAGCAAGUCUGAAGUGAAAGCCCGCGGCCCAACUGCGGGACUGCUUUGGAAACUGCCCGGCUAGAGUGCUGGAGAGGUAAGCGGAAUUCCUAGUGUAGCGGUGAAAUGCGUAGAUAUUAGGAGGAACACCAGUGGCGAAGGCGGCUUACUGGACAGUAACUGACGUUGAGGCUCGAAAGCGUGGGGAGCAAACAGGAUUAGAUACCCCAGUAGUC
rnacentral:rRNA from 1 species